GGCUUAGAGUUUGAUCAUGGCUCAGGACGAACGCUGGCGGCGCGCCUAACACAUGCAAGUCGAACGGGGUUGAGAGGAGCUUGCUUUUCUUGACUUAGUGGCGAACGGGUGAGUAACGCGUGAGGAACCUGCCUCAAAGAGGGGGACAACAGUUGGAAACGACUGCUAAUACCGCAUAAGCCCACGGUCCCGCAUGGGAGAGAGGGAAAAGGAGCAAUCCGCUUUGAGAUGGCCUCGCGUCCGAUUAGCUAGUUGGUGAGGUAACGGCCCACCAAGGCGACGAUCGGUAGCCGGACUGAGAGGUUGAACGGCCACAUUGGGACUGAGACACGGCCCAGACUCCUACGGGAGGCAGCAGUGGGGAAUAUUGCACAAUGGGGGAAACCCUGAUGCAGCGACGCCGCGUGGAGGAAGAAGGUCUUCGGAUUGUAAACUCCUGUUGUUGGGGAAAAAGAGGAUGGUACCCAACAAGGAAGUGACGGCUAACUACGUGCCAGCAGCCGCGGUAAAACGUAGGUCACGAGCGUUGUCCGGAAUUACUGGGUGUAAAGGGAGCGCAGGCGGGUAUGCAAGUUGGGAGUGAAAUACAUGGGCUCAACCCAUGAACUGCUCUCAAAACUGUGUAUCUUGAGUAGUGCAGAGGUAGGCG
rnacentral:rRNA from 2 species